ACCAACCACCAAAUACAUAAAUGAGUUCCCCAAUCACCAUUGACCAUGUAGAGAUGAUCAUUGCACCCAUGGCACCAGGUAUCCCCAAGUUCAAUUUAUAGACAAAGAGCCAGGAUAAGGUCAAGUGAACCACAAAUGAUGCACAGGAUAACCAUCCAAUAAUCAUGUUCUUUCUUUGGGCUUGUAAAUACAUUUGCAUUGUAAAUGUAAA